AUUUUUAACCUCAUCUAUAUUUUGCUGUAUUUUUAAUUUAUACUGACAUUCUUUUAACAUUAAUGACCAACAAUUUGUCUAUUAGUGCUGUGUAAGUAAACAAUGUUCAGGUUAUCAUACAACUGAAAGGCUUAAAUAAAGGACUUUAUUACAGAAAACUAUCCUUCCACUACGUAACAACCUAGUAUCCUCCAUAUUUCUUAAUUUGCAUUAAAUAGUGAUAUAUAAACAUUAACAAAGCUAACAUCUGAUCCAAAACAUUAGACGGUCUGGUCUGACAUAUAUAUAUAUAUAUAUGCCACAGCAUUCACUUAUAAGAAAAGUCCAUAAUAAGAGUGCAGUCUUUUGCAGUAAAGACAAUUAUGUGCAGCUACCCAAAAA